rnacentral:rRNA from 1 species
GCAUCGCUUUAAUAUCAAAUAUUUAUAGGAUCAAGAUGGGCAUGCGGAACAUUAGCUAGUUGGUAAGGUAACGGCUACCCAAGGCUACGAUGUUUAGGGGAUCUGAGAGGAUGACCCCCCACACUGGGUACUGAGACACGGACCAGACUCCUACGGGAGGCAGCAGUAAGGAAUAUUGGUCAAUGGACGGAAGUCUGAACCAGCCAUGCCGCGUGCAGGAAGACGGCCCUACGGGUUGUAAACUGCUUUUGUACCGGAAUAAACCUUUCUUCGUGAAGGAAGCUGAAUGUACGGUAAGAAUAAGGAUCGGCUAACUCCGUGCCAGCAGCCGCGGUAAUACGGAGGAUCCAAGCGUUAUCCGGAUUUAUUGGGUUUAAAGGGUGCGUAGGCGGCCUGUUAAGUCAGGGGUGAAAGACGGUAGCUCAACUAUCGCAGUGCCCUUGAUACUGAUGGGCUUGAAUAUACUUGAGGUAGGCGGAAUGUGACAAGUAGCGGUGAAAUGCAUAGAUAUGUCACAGAACACCAAUUGCGAAGGCAGCUUACUAAAGUAUGAUUGACGCUGAGGCACGAAAGCGUGGGGAUCAAACAGGAUUAGAUACCCUGGUAGUCCACGCCCUAAACGAUGAACACUCGAUGUUGGCGAUAUACGGUCAGCGUCUAAGCGAAAGCGUUAAGUGUUCCACCUGGGGAGUACGCCCGCAAGGGUGAAACUCAAAGGAAUUGACGGGGGCCCGCACAAGCGGAGGAGCAUGUGGUUUAAUUCGAUGAUACGCGAGGAACCUUACCCGGGCUUGAAAGUUAGUGAAUGUGACAGAGACGUCACAGUUCUUCGGAACACGAAACUAGGUGCUGCAUGGCUGUCGUCAGCUCGUGCCGUGAGGUGUUGGGGUAAGUCCCGCAACGAG